rnacentral:tRNA from 1 species
GUGAUUAAAAAAGUUUUUAGCUAU